rnacentral:rRNA from 1 species
CAGCCGCCGCGGUAAUACAGAGGGUGCGAGCGUUAAUCGGAUUUACUGGGCGUAAAGCGUGCGUAGGCGGCUUCUUAAGUCGGAUGUGAAAUCCCUGAGCUUAACUUAGGAAUUGCAUUCGAUACUGGGAAGCUAGAGUAUGGGAGAGGAUGGUAGAAUUCCAGGUGUAGCGGUGAAAUGCGUAGAGAUCUGGAGGAAUACCGAUGGCGAAGGCGGCCCCCUGGACAAAGACUGACGCUCAGGUGCGAAAGCGUGGGGAGCAAACAGGAUUAGAUACCCGUGUAGUCCCUGUCUCUUAUAC